UAAUUUAGUACAUGUGUUUAUUUUGGGGCAGGAUGUAAUCCAACAUUUUCCAAAAUGAUGGACACAAGGUCAAAAAAGAGGUGUAAGAAAUUAACGAUUUAUAAGGAAAAAAAAAAACUCAUCCAGGUCACGAGAUUUGACUUUUUAGUCCAGGAUUGGUAUACCAAUAAAAAUAACUGGUACUACCGAGUACCGACCUGCUCAUCUGCAUAACGAAAUUAUGGGCUUUAUUUCUUCUUUUUGAAUUUUUUUUUCCAGGAUCGAGAAACGUACUACCGACUUUGAAUACCCGAAAUCCGGAAUGACACUAUGAGAUGUGAAGAUUUUGUAAAAGAAGAGGACUUAUAGGCUGAGUUCCUGUGGAUAAUCUAGGAUCCAGCAGAUUCAACCAGGAAUGGUUUCUCAUGUGGGAAAAAGGAAAUCAAAGGGUAAAGAUGGAGAUGCCAAGGUUUAAAACCUUCUACUUGUACCGAAUCUAACAAGAAAUAAUUCCUAUCUUUGGAAAGCUAGACUUUAAUUUUGUACGUUGAUUGGUGCACAGUGUUCAUCCGGCUAGCAAUGAUUUGGAAGGUAAUUGGUUGACUGGUUGUUAAUCAUAUAUUGUAAUCAAAGAUGGAAGUGCAUCGUUGUUUCCUUGUUUGCAGCAUCACAACAUGUUCAAAUAUUGUUUCUUAAUUACUUGAUCGUCUAUAUAUGAACCUGUAGGCAAUAGGAUACUGGUUGCCUGUUGCCACCCCGUGUCCCGGAUUUUGGUUAGCAGACAAAGAUGAAAUGAAUUCUUGUUACCUCGGUCUGCAGCCGAAUAUAAA